rnacentral:rRNA from 1 species
ACGUCGCAAGACCAAAGAGGGGGACCUUCGGGCUCUUGCCAUCGGAUGUGCCCAGAUGGGAUUAGCUAGUAGGUGGGGUAACGGCUCACCUAGGCGACGAUCCCUAGCUGGUCUGAGAGGAUGACCAGCCACACUGGAACUGAGACACGGUCCAGACUCCUACGGGAGGCAGCAGUAGCCCAGAGCCUGAAUCAGUGUGUGUGUUAGUGGAAGCGUCUGGAAAGGCGCGCGAUACAGGGUGACAGCCCCGUACACAAAAAUGCACAUAUUGUGAGCUCGAUGAGUAGGGCGGGACACGUGGUAUCCUGUCUGAAUAUGGGGGACCAUCCUCCAAGGCUAAAUACUCCUGACUGACCGAUAGUGAACCAGUACCGUGAGGGAAAGGCGAAAAGAACCCCGGCGAGGGGAGUGAAAAAGAACCUGAAACCGUGUACGUACAAGCAGUGGGAGCACGCUUAGGCGUGUGACUGCGUACCUUUUGUAUAAUGGGUCAGCGACUUAUAUUCUGUAGCAAGGUUAACCGAAUAGGGGAGCCGAAGGAAACCGAGUCUUAACUGGGCGUUAAGUUGCAGGGUAUAGACCCGAAACCCGGUGAUCUAGCCAUGGGCAGGUUGAAGGUUGGGUAACACUAACUGGAGGACCGAACCGACUAAUGUUGAAAAAUUAGCGGAUGACUUGUGGCUGGGGGUGAAAGGCCAAUCAAACCGGGAGAUAGCUGGUUCUCCCCGAAAGCUAUUUAGGUAGCGCCUCGUGAAUUCAUCUCCGGGGGUAGAGCACUGUUUCGGCAAGGGGGUCAUCCCGACUUACCAACCCGAUGCAAACUGCGAAUACCGGAGAAUGUUAUCACGGGAGACACACGGCGGGUGCUAACGUCCGUCGUGAAGAGGGAAACAACCCAGACCGCCAGCUAAGGUCCCAAAGUCAUGGUUAAGUGGGAAACGAUGUGGGAAGGCCCAGACAGCCAGGAUGUUGGCUUAGAAGCAGCCAUCAUUUAAAGAAAGCGUAAUAGCUCACUGGUCGAGUCGGCCUGCGCGGAAGAUGUAACGGGGCUAAACCAUGCACCGAAGCUGCGGCAGCGACGCUUAUGCGUUGUUGGGUAGGGGAGCGUUCUGUAAGCCUGUGAAGGUGUGCUGUGAGGCAUGCUGGAGGUAUCAGAAGUGCGAAUGCUGACAUAAGUAACGAUAAAGCGGGUGAAAAGCCCGCUCGCCGGAAGACCAAGGGUUCCUGUCCAACGUUAAUCGGGGCAGGGUGAGUCGACCCCUAAGGCGAGGCGAAGGCGUAGUCGAUGGGAAACAGGUUAAUAUUCCUGUACUUGGUGUUACUGCGAAGGGGGGACGGAGAAGGCUAUGUUGGCCGGGCGACGGUUGUCCCGGUUUAAGCGUGUAGGCUGGUUUUCCAGGCAAAUCCGGAAAAUCAAGGCUGAGGCGUGAUGACGAGGCACUACGGUGCUGAAGCAACAAAUGCCCUGCUUCCAGGAAAAGCCUCUAAGCAUCAGGUAACAUCAAAUCGUACCCCAAACCGACACAGGUGGUCAGGUAGAGAAUACCAAGGCGCUUGAGAGAACUCGGGUGAAGGAACUAGGCAAAAUGGUGCCGUAACUUCGGGAGAAGGCACGCUGAUAUGUAGGUGAAGUCCCUCGCGGAUGGAGCUGAAAUCAGUCGAAGAUACCAGCUGGCUGCAACUGUUUAUUAAAAACACAGCACUGUGCAAACACGAAAGUGGACGUAUACGGUGUGACGCCUGCCCGGUGCCGGAAGGUUAAUUGAUGGGGUCAGCGCAAGCGAAGCUCUUGAUCGAAGCCCCGGUAAACGGCGGCCGUAACUAUAACGGUCCUAAGGUAGCGAAAUUCCUUGUCGGGUAAGUUCCGACCUGCACGAAUGGCGUAAUGAUGGCCAGGCUGUCUCCACCCGAGACUCAGUGAAAUUGAACUCGCUGUGAAGAUGCAGUGUACCCGCGGCAAGACGGAAAGACCCCGUGAACCUUUACUAUAGCUUGACACUGAACAUUGAGCCUUGAUGUGUAGGAUAGGUGGGAGGCUUUGAAGUGUGGACGCCAGUCUGCAUGGAGCCGACCUUGAAAUACCACCCUUUAAUGUUUGAUGUUCUAACGUUGACCCGUAAUCCGGGUUGCGGACAGUGUCUGGUGGGUAGUUUGACUGGGGCGGUCUCCUCCUAAAGAGUAACGGAGGAGCACGAAGGUUGGCUAAUCCUGGUCGGACAUCAGGAGGUUAGUGCAAUGGCAUAAGCCAGCUUGACUGCGAGCGUGACGGCGCGAGCAGGUGCGAAAGCAGGUCAUAGUGAUCCGGUGGUUCUGAAUGGAAGGGCCAUCGCUCAACGGAUAAAAGGUACUCCGGGGAUAACAGGCUGAUACCGCCCAAGAGUUCAUAUCGACGGCGGUGUUUGGCACCUCGAUGUCGGCUCAUCACAUCCUGGGGCUGAAGUAGGUCCCAAGGGUAUGGCUGUUCGCCAUUUAAAGUGGUACGCGAGCUGGGUUUAGAACGUCGUGAGACAGUUCGGUCCCUAUCUGCCGUGGGCGCUGGAGAACUGAGGGGGGCUGCUCCUAGUACGAGAGGACCGGAGUGGACGCAUCACUGGUGUUCGGGUUGUCAUGCCAAUGGCACUGCCCGGUAGCUAAAUGCGGAAGAGAUAAGUGCUGAAAGCAUCUAAGCACGAAACUUGCCCCGAGAUGAGUUCUCCCUGACUCCUUGAGAGUCCUGAAGGAACGUUGAAGACGACGACGUUGAUAGGCCGGGUGUGUAAGCGCAGCGAUGCGUUGAGCUAACCGGUACUAAUGAACCGUGAGGCUUAACC